rnacentral:rRNA from 1 species
GACGAACGCUGGCGGCGUGCUUAACACAUGCAAGUCGAACGAUGAAGCUGGAGCUUGCUCCGGUGGAUUGGUGGCGAACGGGCGAGUAACACGUGAGCAAUCUGCCCUUGACUCUGGGAUAACUGCGGGAAACUGUAGCUAAUACCGGAUACUUUCACUGGAAGGCAUCUUCUGGUGAAGAAAGAAUUUCGGUCAAGGAUGAGCUCGCGGCGUAUCAGCUUGUUGGUGAGGUAACGGCUCACCAAGGCGACGACGGGUAGCCGGCCUGGUAGAGUAACCAGUCAGACUGUGACUGAAACACGCCCCAGACUCCUUCGGGUGGCAGCAGUUGAGCAGAUUACGCAAUGGGCAAACGCCUGACGCAGCAACGCCUCGUGCGGGAUGAAUGCCUUCGGGUUGUAAACCGCUUUCAGCAGGGAAGACGCGAAAGUGACGGUACCUGCAGAAGAAGCACCGGCUAACUACGUGCCAGCAGCCGCUGUAG